rnacentral:rRNA from 1 species
UACAGAGGGGGCAAGCGUUGUUCGGAAUUACUGGGCGUAAAGGGCUCGUAGGUGGCCAACUAAGUCGGACGUGAAAUCCCUCAGCUUAACUGGGGAACUGCGUCCGAUACUGGAUGGCUUGAGUUUGGGAGAGGGAUGCGGAAUUCCAGGUGUAGCGGUGAAAUGCGUAGAUAUCUGGAGGAACACCGGUGGCGAAGGCGGCAUCCUGGACCAACACUGACACUGAGGAGCGAAAGCCAGGGGAGCAAACGGG